GACAACAUCCAUGCCACUCUAGACCAAUUAAAUCAGAAUCUCUGUGGGGUUGGACCCAUGUUUUUUUUUUUUUUUCCUUCCCCCUGAAUUCCCCAGAUGAUUGUAUCAUGCAGUCAUGUUUGGGACUCACUGGUCUAACUCAUAUUGAGAACAUAGAACAUUAGAAUUCAGAGACAGACCAUGUAGGUGUGUGGACAAAUCAUUGGAAUUAUUUAGCCUAGUCUUAAAGAAGGAUCACUGGAGAGGAAUGCUUUCUCUUCUUACAAAGGUAAUGCUGUGAACAAGUCCAGCCUGUUUUCCAGCAAUUUCUUGAGACAAGCUGAUGAGCUUGUGAGUUCUUAGGAGUAGCUCGGAUUCCAUUCAGAAAUGGGUCAGUGAGUGGGACGGAGGGGCUUGUCACCACCAUCAAUAACCGGCCUUCACUGACCACCCUCUCCUCCCUGAUUUAGACAGAAAUCUUUAUUUAUCCAAACACGCCUGUAUAUCUGUGUAUUUGAGUGAGGUGUGGACAGAGGCUCUGGAAGAGUGAUAGGUAAAACUUUGAAAAAUGACUCUGCCUUUUUUUACAUUUCAUCUGCAUAAGCCUUCGUCUAUUCAUGUAUGAAAUAAAGUGCUACAUGCAGAUGUCAGCAUUCAGUGUGUGUGAAUACUAGUACAGUUUUAGAAACACUGUUCUGUUCAGCAUGAGACCCCCAGAAUGUAGCCAUGGGCGUGGCACUCUGCUCAUUAAAUCUUUGUUUUUAAAAACAUUUUUAAUUCUAUUUUCACUUUAAAAAAUUUUUAGGGUUGCACCUGUGGCAUAUGGAAGUUCCCAGGCUAGGGGUUGAAUUGAAGUGGUAGCUGCCAGCCUACAGCACAGCCAUAGCAAUGCCAGAUCUGAGUCAUGUCUUCAGCCUACACCACAGUUCAGGGCAAUGCUGAAUCGUUAACCUACUGAUCGAGGCCAGGGAUCAAACCUGCAUCCUCAUGGAUACUAGUUGGGUUCCUUAUUGCUGAACCACAAUGGGAACUCCACAUCCAUGUUUAUUGAAUGAAUCUUGAAGGUGGUCUUUCAUGUCAAGUAUCCACGCAUUAGCAAGGACAAGGAGAGCUUGUUCCUAAGGAACUUUACAAAAAAUGCUGCCACCUUGCAUUUCCUAGCUUGAGCAAGAGAGCUGUUAAGAUUAAGGAGUGCAGAUACAACAAAUAAAUUUGGAAAUAUAUUGUCUUAAUGAGUCGGAGUCAUAGCUACCUAUGAUCUAAAGAAAUCUUUCCUUUUCAGGUUCCAAUUGAUAUUUAGCCACAUCAAAUUUUAGAUGUUAUUGUUAAAUUUUAUUUUUAACUUUAUUCAGUUUAAUUGAUUAUAAAAUAACUGUCACUGUAAGAAUAAGCCUGUGUUUAAUUUCUUGGAACUACUAGAGCCUUUGUUGUAAUAAAUUUUAUAGGGCUCAGAAGUUAUAAAAUUAAUACUGGAGACUUGGUGCGUGUUAAAAUCUUGACCUCUUCUAUUAAAGCCCAUUGGAGUGAUGUACAGUGAAACGGCUGUCCUGUGCUGGUGAUUGGGCUCUGCUCCAUCCACAGGUCCUACAAGCAUGAUGCCACUAACUAACGCAUCGUCUGGGUAUUUGGCCCAGGGCAAAGAGGAGGAGGGUGGGUAAAGAAACCUGAUCAGACCAUUUGAUGCUAAUUUCACAGGUGGCUGGUCACUGUGUGCCUGACUGUUGUUAUUUAUAGAUCUCUAAGUGGAUAUAGCUACACACGGGGACCUGAAAGGAAGGUUUGCAUCAGGGUGUAGCAGUAAAAUCACAAAGUGGAAUCCGGGGACAAGUGGUCAUUGGUGAGUGUCAUUGCUGGAGUUAAAUGGGAUCAUUAGUAGCUGUCAUGAUUUCCACUAGCACCUCAUUGCCUUUCCUGAAUGCUUUUGGGGGGAAAAAAAAGGCAAUAAAGCAGACCAAAACAACCAUGGAUAGUCAGUCUCUCCCUUAUUUUAAUUGGCAUUGAUAGGAUUUUAAUCAGGUUGCCUCGUACUGAUUUCAGCUGUGAUUUAAAGAGUUGUACACGAAACUAUAAAUUAAAGAGUUAGAACUAUACUGCUAGAGCCAAAAGGGCUUGAUGUUUCCCCCUACUCCCUCUCUCAUUCCCCAUCAUGCCAGUGGAGAAACUGAGAUCUAGCUGGGAUAUUUUAACCAGCUGAUUUUCACGGUGGUGAUCCUGGGACUGGAAUCUGGAUCUUGAAUCUCCUCAGUGUAGCUCUUUCUUCUUCCAUCAUAUUAGUCCUAUAAUUAAAGUACAGUUCUCUUUCUUUAAAUUCAACACCUUGUCUUCACAGCCCAGAUGAAGGUUAUCCUUUGUUAUGGUAUUUCCUCAGAAGUACUUCGAGCCUUACUGUUAUUUUCAUUUCUUAAAAUGAAAACUAGUAUUAAAAAAAAAAAUCCCUUCUUUUGAUACUCCAUCGGCCUACUGCCACCAGCAUUUCACGGCAUGACUUGUAAUCGAACCUCAGUGUAGACUGCAGUGAUUGGGUUUUGUUUGUUUGUUUUUCUCUCCUUCCCUUCCCACUGGUUUCAAAGGCCACACAACAAGCUCUGGAGAGGGAGCUGCCUGUGGGCUGAGACUUGGCUGCUUCACUCAGGCCAACCCUGUGUGGCUGCUGGAACAAAUGCCUUGGGGUCAGUCGUUCUCAGGUUACCCUACACUGGCGUGAAGGCCGUGCUGUGUUGGACACUGAACAUGGGAUUUCUAGCACUUGUCUGUAAGUGGAGGCAGGAAGAUGAGCUCUGUGUUUCUAAACCUUCAGAAUGGAUGCUGUCUCUGUGGCUCAGGGUAACAUAUCUGCAAUGGGGGCCAGGUUUUAGAACCUUGCAUUGCAUUAAAUGACCCGUAGGGUCUCUCCCAGUGCUGGUGGUUAGUCACGGUUCCUCCAGAAGAAGAUGAAUUUCAGGCCACAGGGAGUUUAUUGGUAGCACAGUCAGUUCUCAGUUACUUGUCGUGUAAAUGUUUUAUAUUCCAGAGACCUUUCCCCAGCGGGUUCCCAGGUUAUAUUCCCAGGCUAGGGGUAGAAUUGGAGCUGUAGCUGCCAGCCUACACCACAACCUCAGCAAUGCCAGAUCCAAGCCGAGUCUGCAACCUGCACCACAGCUCAUGGCAACACCGGAUCGCUCACCCAUUGAGCAAGGCCAGGGAUCGAACCCACAUCCUCAUGGAUGCUAGGUGGAUUCAUUUCCGCUGUGCCACGAUGGGAACUCCAGUAAUUCCCUUUUUUAAAGGCUUUGUUGAGUCACCAAGAAUUAUUUAAAUGGACUCUAUUUAGCUUAGUAAUAAGAUUCCAGUUGUGUGGGUUUGUUGUGUAUUAACAUUGGCCUAAAGUUAUCUCCUUUGCCCUGGGUCAUGCCUCUCAGGCAUAUCCGAGUCCGUCAUCCACAUGCUGUGGUCCCCUUGGUGUGCCCAGCCCUGCCAUGUGUGCGGAGGAAUCCCCUGGACCCUCUCAAGGAUGUGCUGCUUAUAUAUAUUUUUUUGCUUCAGUUAUCCCAGUUGACAUCUCCGCACCUGCUGUGACUUGAAGUACUGCUGCUCUGGUGGCUCACUCCUUUGCCUCAUUGAGGACCUGUGUGAGAUACAUGCCAUUCUUUGGAGUUUAGAACAUUCGCUUUAGAGGGAGGAAGGAUUUUAAACUGGGACUGGUAGAAGUCAGUUCAGGAGGGAUCAGAUACAUGAUUUUAGGAGGGGUCCUUGUAACUACAGGGUUUGUACUGAGCUGGACACUGGCCAUUUAAGUAGAUGCUUCCUCUCCAAUUACAGAGUGGCUCCCAGCUGGCAGAUUUCUCAUUGGGAUUCAGUUUUCUUGGCUGCUGCUGUUUGUUGUGCUCACACUGAUUUUUGCGGCAUCCUUCCAGGCUCUUGAGUCUUUUCCAAGCAGGGGAGAUAGCAGAAUGCUUUGCCCUCCCCUUCUUUUCUCCUUUUGGAUUUUCCAUGGCUAUUAGGGAAGGGCUUCCUGUGAAAUAAAAUGAGGGCAAAGGAAAGUAGCAUGCCUGUGGCAUAAAAAUGCUGUUAGCAUGCUUGAGGCAUAUCAGAGAGAUUGGUCCUGAGAGUAACAUUGACUGACUUUCUGCUUUUGAACUUUUUUUUUUUUCCCUUUGCCUCUUUCUGAGGUCUGGGAUUUAUCCUGAAUUUAAAAACGGACUGUUUUUGAUCAUUUGAAUAGGUAUCACCAUUCAGCAGGGAAUACAUGUGCAGACUGAGGUGUCUCUUAAAGCCAAUUUGUAGUAUAAGUCAUUUGAAAUGAUUUCUUUAGUUGGUAAUGCAUUUCUACUUCAGAUUCUCUGCCUGGAUUUAUGCAUUCAUCUCCUGUUUUAUCAAGUGGCUUGCUUUCAUUAUGCUGCUAUGACAGCCCCCUCCUACCUUUAGCUACCACCCCCAUACAUUUGAGCAUGUUUUCCAGUGUGAGUAAGCAUUGAGCUCCCCAAAAUGACAUCAAGUGCCAGCCACUCGAGAUUAGAAACAAGGAGAGCCUGGAUUCCAGCAAAAUUUCUGUGUCACCUUGAUCAAGAGACUACAGAAAAGAUUAUGUGUCCUUUAAACAUUGGUUUUGGAGAGACUCUGUUAGAUGAAGUCCCAGUGGGAAAUCAGUACUCAGCUGCCAGCUGGGAAAGUCUAAAAUCCUGGCAUGAUGUCCAGAGGAGAGCCCAGCCCCUCUUUCGCAAGGUCCAGCCCUCUCUUUGAAGAGGAGAAGAGGGGAUAGAUGAAGCUGUCUUCAGCUAUGCUGGAGCACAUCAGUUCAGAGGCUUUGGGUUUGCUUUGCCCCUUUGCCUUUUGCCUUUUUCCGCUUGGGUUUACUGUUGUUUUUCCUUUAGGAUAUGAGGGGCUUCUGACCUUGACUGGAGGGCUUCCAACCCUGGACGGGCUCGAAGGAAGUAACAUCAGGGAGAGGGGUGUGUGUGUGUGUGUGUGUGUGUGUGUGUAGGCAUCAGGGAGAGGGGUGUGUUUGUGUGUGUGUGUGUGUUUAGGCUGCACCUAUGGCAUGUGGAAGUUCCCAGGCUAGGGGUCUAAUUGGAGUUGCAGCUGCCAGCUAUACCACAGCCACAGCAAUACCAGAUCCGAGCUGUGUCUGCGACCUACACCGCAGCUCAUGGCAGCCCCAGAUCCUUAACCCACUGAGCGAGGCCAGGGAUUGAACCUGCAUCCUCAAGGAUACUAGUCAGGUUCAUUACCACUGAGCCACAAGGGGAACUUCCAGGGAGAUGUGUUUUGAUUUCACAUAAUCUCCUUUUGUUAAGAGGAAAUGAGCAGCUGGUUGACCCAGAACAAUGCCAAGGGGAGCUGGGGAAUUGUUACUUGUAGAAGAAGAAAGGAAUAGAUACUGCGAGGCAGGGCAUGAUGUACAGCUGAUGCCUUCAGAGAAUAGGGACUUGCCUUUCUGAGACUCUCUCAUAACCUGGGACAUGGUAGAGGGAGGAGGCAUGUAUGUGGCUUGUGGGGUUGAACUCCAGUUCAAAAGUCCACAUUCUGCUCAUUUAAUUCACUAAUUUAUUGAUUUUACAAAUAUCUCUUGGGUUCCUACUGUGUGCUAGGUGCUAGAGAUACAGACAAACAUAAAAGGUCUUUGUCCUCAUAAUAUUUAAAUUCUAGUAAGGGUGGCGGUAAAGACAUUUAUAAUGACAAUGGUAUAAGAACUAGUAUGGGGAGUUCCCGUUGUGCUGCAGUGGAAAUGAAUCCAACUAGGAACCAUAAGGUUGCAGGUUCAAUCCCUGGCCUUGCUUAGUGGGUUAAGGAUCCGGCAUUGCCAUGAGCUGUGGUGUAGGUCACAGACACAGCUCGGAUUUGACAUUGCUGUGACUGCAGCAUAGGUCGGCAGCUGUAGCUCCGAUUGGUCCCCUGGCCUGGGAACCUCCAUAUGCCGUGGAAGUGGCCCUAGAAAAGGCAAAAAGACAAAGGAGAAAAAAAAAAAAAA
rnacentral:lncRNA from 1 species